rnacentral:rRNA from 1 species
AUUGAACGCUGGCGGCAUGCCUUACACAUGCAAAUCGAACGGCAGCACGGGAGCAAUCCUGGUGGCGAGUGGCGAACGGGUGAGUAAUAUAUCGGAACGUACCUUUCAGUGGGGGAUAACGUAGCGAAAGUUACGCUAAUACCGCAUAUUCUGUGAGCAGGAAAGCAGGGGAUCUUCGGACCUUGCGCUGAUUGAGCGGCCGAUAUCAGAUUAGCUAGUUGGUGAGGUAAAGGCUCACCAAGGCGACGAUCUGUAGCGGGUCUGAGAGGAUGAUCCGCCACACUGGAACUGAGACACGGUCCAGACUCCUACGGAGGCAGCAGUGGGGAAUUUGGACAAUGGGGGCAACCCUGAUCCAGCCAUGCCGCGUGAGUGAAG